UCAGGCGUGAGCGCUGGAUGCUCCCUGCAGCCCCUCAGCGAGCUUCUCGCUGGCAGGGGACGCGUCACGCGCCAGCCCAGCUGCUCCCGACGAUACAAAUACCUCCCUGAACGCCGGGCGGGUCCCGCCUCCCCGCCCGAACCAGCUGGACAACCCUGUCGUAGGGCAGGCCAGCGCUCAAUCACGCCGGGAACUGGAACAAAGCAAAGGAGACGCGGGAACGAGCGGCUCCGAGCAAACACACCAGAUUCCAGCCCCCGCUGUCAGAACAAACAGGACCGCUCUCGUUCUGAAACUCUGCCUGAACUCGACCGUGGAGCUGCCGAGCAGGAAUGCCGCCGCUCGGUGGGAACUGGGGACGGAGAUCGUAUAGACGAGCCCAUGGCCGUGCAGGCGCGGCGUAAAGCAAACACACAGACCGAGCCACAGCAUAAACAUCCUGCCACGGCACAAUCCGCCAUUAUAGACGGAAGAAAAUGGGUUUUCUUUAAUAAUCUCCUCGGUUUUAUCUGCAUUUAACAAUGUUAACUGUUUUCAUAGGCCAACGUGGACGACUCGGAUUGUUUUGCCUUCAAAAGCGGAAGUGCUAUUUCUAGGCACAAUGCGUAGCUUUGUCCACCGAUACCAACUCUGGCUGUGAUUCUUAUCGGCGCUGUCCUACUGUCAACAUCCUCUAACCAGUAAAAAAAUGCACCAAAACACACACACACACACACACACACACACACACACACACACACA